GAUGAAGAACGUAGCGAAAUGCGAUAAGUAAUGUGAAUUGCAGAAUUCAGUGAAUCAUCGAAUCUUUGAACGCACAUUGCGCCCCUUGGUAUUCCGGGGGGCAUGCCUGUUCGAGCGUCAUUAUAACCCCUCAAGCUCAGCUUGGUGUUGGGGCCUGCCGACUGGCAGCCCUUAAAAUCAGUGGCGGCGCCAUCUGGCUCUAAGCGUAGUAAUUUCUCUCGCUAUAGAGUCCCGGUGGAUGCUUGCCAGCAACCCCCAACUUUCUAUGGUUGACCUCGGAUCAGGUAGGGAUACCCGCUGAACUUAAGAAUAUCAAUAAGCGGAGGA
rnacentral:misc_RNA from 1 species